rnacentral:rRNA from 1 species
UACGAAGGGGGCUAGCGUUGCUCGGAAUCACUGGGCGUAAAGGGUGCGUAGGCGGGUCUUUUAAGUCAGGGGUGAAAUCCUGGAGCUCAACUCCAGAACUGCCUUUGAUACUGAGGAUCUUGAGUUCGGGAGAGGUGAGUGGAACUGCGAGUGUAGAGGUGAAAUUCGUAGAUAUUCGCAAGAACACCAGUGGCGAAGGCGGCUCACUGGCCCGAUACUGACGCUGAGGCACGAAAGCGUGGGGAGCAAACAGGAUAGAAACC